UACGGAGGAUCCAAGCGUUGUCCGGAUUCAUUGGGUUUAAAGGGUGCGUAGGCGGGGCAUUAAGUCAGAGGUGAAAUCUUGCGGCUCAACCGUAAAAUUGCCUUUGAAACUGGUAUCCUUGAGUUCGGUUGAGGUGGAUGGAAUGUGUCAUGUAGCGGUGAAAUGCUUAGAUAUGACACAGAACACCAAUUGCGAAGGCAGUCCACUAAGCCGACACUGACGCUGAGGCACGAAAGCGUGGGGAGCGAACAGG
rnacentral:rRNA from 1 species